AUAUUUUAAUAAUGAUUUGCAGUAAGAUAAAUAUGCACAGAAAAGUGAGUCUGUACUAGUGCCAUUGCUACCUAACAAUAAGUAAUGUUUUAAUGCAGCAAGCUUGCUAAUUUCAGUAUCUCCCUAAUGGAAUUUGUUAAUCGCUGAGAUGAUAGUAAAAUAUGCACGGUUUAUGGAAGUUUUCACCGCGGAUAUGCAAAUUGGAAACCUGCAGUUGUUGCUAGUACUCGUAAUAUUCUUUCGCAACAUAACUCCCACAAGGAAUGGCCGGUCACGUAUGCCGCACAACGUAGCUUACUAUCCCAGAAGCUUCUAUCGGACACUUGUUGACAAUGCAGGUCCAAAAGUUUACGGGGAUAAGCGAAAAGGAGCACCGUAUAUUCGAACCGCACCUGCACCG